UAAGGGCGCACGGUGGAUGCCUUGGCACUAGAAGCCGAUGAAGGACGUUACUAACGACGAUAUGCUUUGGGGAGCUGUAAGUAAGCUUUGAUCCAGAGAUUUCCGAAUGGGGAAACCCAGCAUGAGUUAUGUCAUGUUAUCGAUAUGUGAAUACAUAGCAUAUCAGAAGGCACACCCGGAGAACUGAAACAUCUUAGUACCCGGAGGAAGAGAAAGAAAAUUCGAUUCCCUUAGUAGCGGCGAGCGAAACGGGAAGAGCCCAAACCAACAAGCUUGCUUGUUGGGGUUGUAGGACACUCUAUACGGAGUUACAAAGGACGACAUUAGACGAAUCAUCUGGAAAGAUGAAUCAAAGAAGGUAAUAAUCCUGUAGUCGAAAAUGUUGUCUCUCUUGAGUGGAUCCUGAGUACGACGGAGCACGUGAAAUUCCGUCGGAAUCUGGGAGGACCAUCUCCUAAGGCUAAAUACUCUCUAGUGACCGAUAGUGAACCAGUACCGUGAGGGAAAGGUGAAAAGCACCCCGGAAGGGGAGUGAAAUAGAACCUGAAACCGUGUGCUUACAAGUAGUCAGAGCCCGUUAAUGGGUGAUGGCGUGCCUUUUGUAGAAUGAACCGGCGAGUUACGAUUUGAUGCAAGGUUAAGCAGUAAAUGUGGAGCCGUAGCGAAAGCGAGUCUGAAUAGGGCGUUUAGUAUUUGGUCGUAGACCCGAAACCAGGUGAUCUACCCUUGGUCAGGUUGAAGUUCAGGUAACACUGAAUGGAGGACCGAACCGACUUACGUUGAAAAGUGAGCGGAUGAACUGAGGGUAGCGGAGAAAUUCCAAUCGAACCUGGAGAUAGCUGGUUCUCUCCGAAAUAGCUUUAGGGCUAGCCUCAAGUGAUGAUUAUUGGAGGUAGAGCACUGUUUGGACGAGGGGCCCCUCUCGGGUUACCGAAUUCAGACAAACUCCGAAUGCCAAUUAAUUUAACUUGGGAGUCAGAACAUGGGUGAUAAGGUCCGUGUUCGAAAGGGAAACAGCCCAGACCACCAGCUAAGGUCCCAAAAUAUAUGUUAAGUGGAAAAGGAUGUGGCGUUGCCCAGACAACUAGGAUGUUGGCUUAGAAGCAGCCAUCAUUUAAAGAGUGCGUAAUAGCUCACUAGUCGAGUGACACUGCGCCGAAAAUGUACCGGGGCUAAACAUAUUACCGAAGCUGUGGAUUGUCCUUUGGACAAUGGUAGGAGAGCGUUCUAAGGGCGUUGAAGCAUGAUCGUAAGGACAUGUGGAGCGCUUAGAAGUGAGAAUGCCGGUGUGAGUAGCGAAAGACGGGUGAGAAUCCCGUCCACCGAUUGACUAAGGUUUCCAGAGGAAGGCUCGUCCGCUCUGGGUUAGUCGGGUCCUAAGCUGAGGCCGACAGGCGUAGGCGAUGGAUAACAGGUUGAUAUUCCUGUACCACCUAUAAUCGUUUUAAUCGAUGGGGGGACGCAGUAGGAUAGGCGAAGCGUGCGAUUGGAUUGCACGUCUAAGCAGUAAGGCUGAGUAUUAGGCAAAUCCGGUACUCGUUAAGGCUGAGCUGUGAUGGGGAGAAGA
rnacentral:rRNA from 1 species